rnacentral:rRNA from 1 species
CCACGCCGUAAACGAUGAGUGCUAGGUGUCGGGAGUCAAAUCUCGGUGCCGCAGUUAACGCAAUAAGCACUCCGCCUGGGGAGUACGUACGCAAGUAUGAAACUCAAAGGAAUUGACGGGGACCCGCACAAGCAGCGGAGCAUGUGGUUUAAUUCGAAGCAACGCGAAGAACCUUACCAGGGCUUGACAUCUCCUGACAGCUGUAGAGAUACAGUGUCCCUUCGGGGCAGGAAGACAGGUGGUGCAUGGUUGU